CAUGUUCUUUUGUGUAUAAUUUAAGAUUUGACCUGCCCGCUGAGUAGUUGAAUGGCCGCGGUAUUUUGACCGUGCAAAGGUAGCAUAAUCAUUAGUUUUUUAAUUGGAAGCUGGAAUGAAUGGUUGGACGAGAAAAUUACUGUCUCUGGUUAAUUUAAGUAGAAUUUAAUUUUUAAGUUAAAAAGCUUAAAUAUUUUUAAAAGACGAGAAGACCCUAUAGAGUUUAAUAUUUGUAAAAAUUUAAUAAGUUAGGUUUAAAAUUUAUAGAUUUUUUUAAGUAUUUUGUUGGGGUGAUAAGAAGAUAAAAUUAACUCUUUUUUUGUUUAAACAUUAAUAUAUGAAUAUUUGAUCCAAUAAUUUUGAUUAAAAGAAUAAAUUACCUUAGGGAUAACAGCGUAAUCUUUUUAGAGAGUUCUUAUCGAUAUAAAGGAUUGCGACCUCGAUGUUGGAUUAAAAUUAAUUUUUGGUGCAGAAGCUAGAAUAUUAAGUCUGUUCGACUUUUAAAAUUUUACAUGAUCUGAGU
rnacentral:rRNA from 1 species